rnacentral:rRNA from 1 species
CCUACGGGAGGCAGCAGUGAGGAAUAUUGGACAAUGGGCGCAAGCCUGAUCCAGCCAUGCCGCGUGCAGGAAGAAGCAUCUAUGGUGUGUAAACUGCUUUUGUACAGGAAGAAACACUCCCUCGUGAGGGAGCUUGACGGUACUGUAAGAAUAAGGACCGGCUAACUCCGUGCCAGCAGCCGCGGUAAUACGGAGGGUCCGAGCGUUAUCCGGAAUCAUUGGGUUUAAAGGGUCCGUAGGCGGUUUAAUAAGUCAGUGGUGAAAUCUGGUCGCUCAACGAUCAAACGGCCAUUGAUACUGUUAGACUUGAAUUAUAAGGAAGUAACUAGAAUAUGUAGUGUAGCGGUGAAAUGCUUAGAUAUUACAUGGAAUACCAAUUGCGAAGGCAGGUUACUACUUAUGGAUUGACGCUGAUGGACGAAAGCGUGGGGAGCGAACAGGAUUAGAUACCCUGGUAGUCCACGUCGUAAACGAUGGAUACUAGCUGUUCGGAGCAAUCUGAGUGGCUAAGCGAAAGUGAUAAGUAUCCCACCUGGGGAGUACGUUCGCAAGAUGAAACUUAAAGGAAUUGACGG